GACGAACCGUGCGAACGUUGUUCGGAAUCACUGGGCUUAAAGGGCGCGUAGGCGGACUGCCAAGUCCGGGGUGAAAUCCUCCGGCUUAACCGGAGAAUUGCCUGGGAUACUGGCGGUCUUGAGGGAGGUAGGGGCACGCGGAACUACCGGUGGAGCGGUGAAAUGCGUUGAUAUCGGAAGGAACGCCGGUGGCGAAAGCGGCGUGCUGGCCCUCUUCUGACGCUGAGGCGCGAAAGCUAGGGGAGCAAACAGG
rnacentral:rRNA from 1 species